GACGAACGCUGGCGGCGUGCUUAACACAUGCAAGUCGAACGUAGUGGCGAACGGGUGAGUAACGCGUAAUCAACCUGCCCUUCAGCGGGGGACAACAGUUGGAAACGACUGCUAAUACCUCAUACUGAAGGAGGGGAUUGCGUCUGAUUAGGUAUUUGGAGGGGUAACGGCCCCCCAAGGCGAUGAUCAGUAGCCGGUCUGAGAGGAUGAACGGCCACAUUGGGACUGAGACAAGGCCCAGACUCCUACGGGAGGCAGCAGUGGGGAAUCUUCCGCAAUGGACGAAAGUCUGACGGAGCAACGCCGCGGGAGUGAUGACGGCCUUCGGGUUGUAAAGCUCUGUUAAUCGGGACGCGGUACCGGAAUAGAAAGCCACGGCUAACUACGUGCCAGCAGCCGCGGUAAUUC
rnacentral:rRNA from 1 species